AUGGCUCAUUAAAUCAGUUAUA
rnacentral:siRNA from 1 species